rnacentral:rRNA from 1 species
CCCUUAGAUGUUCUGGGCUGCACGCGCGCUACACUGAUGCACUCAACGAGUUUACGACCUUGCCCGAUAGGGUUGGGUAAUCUUUUUAAAAUGCAUCGUGAUGGGGAUAGAUUAUUGCAAUUAUUAAUCUUCAACGAGGAAUUCCUAGUAAGCGCGAGUCAUCAGCUCGUGCUGAUUACGUCCCCGCCCUUUGUACACACCGCCCGUCGCUCCUACCGACUGAGUGCUCAGGUGAAUAAUUCGGACUGCAGCAAUGUUUGGAUCCCGAACGUUGCAGCGGAAAGUUUAGUGAACCUUACCACUUAGAGGAAGGAGAAGUCGUAACA